rnacentral:rRNA from 1 species
UACAGAGGGGGCAAGCGUUGUUCGGAAUUACUGGGCGUAAAGGGCGCGUAGGCGGCCUGUUAAGUCGAACGUGAAAUCCCUGGGCUCAACCCAGGAACUGCGUCCGAUACUGGCAGGCUUGAAUUCGGGAGAGGGAUGCGGAAUUCCAGGUGUAGCGGUGAAAUGCGUAGAUAUCUGGAGGAACACCGGUGGCGAAGGCGGCAUCCUGGACCGAGAUUGACGCUGAGGCGCGAAAGCGUGGGGAGCAAACGGG